rnacentral:rRNA from 1 species
UACGUAGGGUGCAAGCGUUAAUCGGAAUUACUGAGCGUAAAGCGUGCGCAGGCGGUUAUGCAAGACAGAUGUGAAAUCCCCGGGCUCAACCUGGGAACUGCAUUUGUGACUGCAUGGCUAGAGUACGGUAGAGGGGGAUGGAAUUCCGCGUGUAGCAGUGAAAUGCGUAGAUAUGCGGAGGAACACCGAUGGCGAAGGCAAUCCCCUGGACCUGUACUGACGCUCAUGCACGAAAGCGUGGGGAGCAAACAGG